rnacentral:rRNA from 1 species
AUUGAACGCUGGCGGCAGGCCUAACACAUGCAAGUCGAACGAGUGGCGGACGGGUGAGUAGUGUCUGGGACACUGCCUGAUGGAGGGGGAUAACUACUGGAAACGGUAGCUAAUACCGCAUACCAUCAGAUGUGCCCAGAGGGGAUUAGCUUGUUGGUGGGGGAACGGCUCACCAGGGCGACGACCCCUAGCUGGUCUGAGAGGAUGACCAGCCACACUGGAACUGAGACACGGUCCAGACUCCUACGGGAGGCAGCAGUGGGGAAUAUUGCACAAUGGGCGCAAGCCUGAUGCAGCCAUGCCGCGUGUAUGAAGAAGGCCUUCGGGUUGUAAAGCACUUUCAGCGGGGAGGCGUUACCCGCAGAAGAAGCACCGGCUAACUCCGUGCCAGCAGCCGCGGUAAUUC